rnacentral:rRNA from 1 species
AUUGAACGCUGGCGGCAUGCCUUACACAUGCAAGUCGAACGGCAGCACGGGAGCAAUCCUGGUGGCGAGUGGCGAACGGGUGAGUAAUGUAUCGGAACGUGCCUAGUUGUGGGGGAUAACGUAGAGAAAUUUACGCUAAUACCGCAUACGAUCUAUGGAUGAAAGCGGGGGAUCGCAAGACCUCGCGCAGUUAGAGCGGCCGAUAUCAGAUUAGGUUGUUGGUGGGGUAAAAGCUCACCAAGCCGACGAUCUGUAGCUGGUUUGAGAGAACGACCAGCCACACUGGGACUGAGACACGGCCCAGACUCCUACGGGAGGGAGCAGUGGGGAAUUUUGGACAAUGGGGGCAACCCUGAUCCAGCAAUGCCGCGUGCAGGAAGAAGGCCUUCGGGUUGUAAACUGCUUUUGUACGGAACGAAACGGUCCUUUCUAAUACAGAGGGCUAAUGACGGUACCGUAAGAAUAAGCACCGGCUAACUACGUGCCAGCAGCCGCCGUAA